rnacentral:lncRNA from 1 species
GGGCAACUAGCAAUUCCGCGAUGUAGUCGAGUGCUAUUAUAGCUGCUAAAAUCUUUUAUAUGAAAUGAUACUAUAAAAUUGUUCCAAUCAUCAUUACUAUCUAAAAUAGAGUUGUGUCAACCUAGCCUCCGGCAACAAAAAAACACAAAGAAAUAAAGGCUAAUCAAUCUAUUACAGGAUAUUGUAAAUCAAAAAUAAACUACGCUUUAUUUUUGCAAAUUCUUGAUACCCGUAUCUUCUCCCCCAACUGUUCUGCACCAAAUAAAAUUAUUCACCAUUUCUUUCACAACAUAUCCCACUAUCAACAUAGCAUGUGUUGGUGCUCUUAUAGUUGGUGCUAUUUCCCUUUAUAAGUAUGUUCUGUACCCGUUUAACUUCU